CCUACGGGAGGCAGCAGUAAGGAAUAUUGGACAAUGGGCGAAAGCCUGAUCCAGCCAUGCCGCGUGAAGGAUUAAGGUCCUCUGGAUUGUAAACUUCUUUUAUUUGGGACGAAAAAAGGGAAUUCUUUCCCACUUGACGGUACCAAGUGAAUAAGCACCGGCUAACUCCGUGCCAGCAGCCGCGGUAAUACGGAGGGUGCAAGCGUUAUCCGGAUUCACUGGGUUUAAAGGGUGCGUAGGCGGGUAUGUAAGUCAGUGGUGAAAUCUCGGAGCUUAACUCCGAAACUGCCAUUGAUACUAUAUAUCUUGAAUAUUGUGGAGGUUUGCGGAAUAUGUCAUGUAGCGGUGAAAUGCUUAGAUAUGACAUAGAACACCUAUUGCGAAGGCAGCAGGCUACACAUAUAUUGACGCUGAGGCACGAAAGCGUGGGGAUCAAACAGGAUUAGAUACCCUGGUAGUCCACGCCCUAAACGAUGGAUACUCGACAUACGCGAUACACUGUGUGUGUCUGAGCGAAAGCAUUAAGUAUCCCACCUGGGAAGUACGACCGCAAGGUUGAAACUCAAAGGAAUUGACGG
rnacentral:rRNA from 1 species